CUACGGGUGGCUCCAGUGGGGAAUAUUGGACAAUGGGGGAAACCCUGAUCCAGCAAUGCCGCGUGUGUGAAGAAGGCCUGCGGGUUGUAAAGCACUUUCGGUUGGGAGGACUGCUUCUAGCACUAAUAUUGUUGGAAGUUGACGUUACCUUCAGAAGAAGCACCGGCUAACUCCGUGCCAGCAGGCCGCGGUAAUACGGAGGGUGCAAGCGUUAAUCGGAAUUACUGGGCGUAAAGCGCGCGUAGGCGGCUAGAUCAGUCGGGUGUGAAAGCCCCGGGCUUAACCUGGGAACUGCAUCCGAUACUGUCUAGCCUGAGUACAGGAGAGGAGAGUGGAAUUCCACAUGUAGCGGUGAAAUGCGUAGAUAUGUGGAGGAACACCAAUGGCGAAGGCAGCUCUCUGGCCUGAUACUGACGCUGAGGUGCGAAAGCGUGGGGAGCAAACAGGAUUAGAUACCCGAGUAGUC
rnacentral:rRNA from 1 species